GUGAAGAACGUAGCGAAAUGCGAUAAGUAAUGCGAAUUGCAGAAUCCGUGAGUCAUCGAAUCUUUGAACGCACAUUGCGCCCCUUGGUUAUUCCGAAGGGCAUGCCUGUUCGAGCGUCAUUAUCACCCCUCAAGCCCUGGCUUGGUGUUGGACUUUAGUUAUAGCUUUGCCUAUCAACUGGUCUCAAAGAUAGUGACGGCGCCCCAGAGGGAACCGGGUACGAGGAGCUUUUUACUAAGCAUGUAUCUGGGACGACUCUGGGCGACGGUCUUGUUAUACUUUUUACCUAAGUGUUGACCUCGGAUCAGGUAGGAAUACCCGCUGAACUUAAGCAUAUCAAUAAGCGGAGGA
rnacentral:misc_RNA from 1 species